rnacentral:rRNA from 1 species
CCUACGGGAGGCAGCAGUGAGGAAUAUUGGUCAAUGGGCGGGAGCCUGAACCAGCCAAGUCGCGUGAAGGAAGAAGGUACUUAGUAUUGUAAACUUCUUUUGUCGGGGAACAAAGGCGGAGACGCGUCUCCGGAUGAGUGUACCCGAAGAAAAAGCAUCGGCUAACUCCGUGCCAGCAGCCGCGGUAAUACGGAGGAUGCGAGCGUUAUCCGGAUUUAUUGGGUUUAACGGGUGCGCGGGCGGGAGGUAAAGUCAGAGGUAAAAUGUCGGGGCUAAACCCCGGACGGCAGUUGAAACUGGGUGUCUAGAGUUGGAGAGAAGUAGGCGGAAGUCGUGGUGUAGCGGUGAAAUGCAGAGAUAUCACGAAGAACUCCGAUUGCGAAGGCAGCAUACCGGCUCCAUACUGACGCUGAGGCACGAAAGCGUGGGGAUCGAACAGGAUUAGAUACCCUUGUAGUC